UGAGCCUCUAAGCCAUUGUAAAAUGCUGUACAUACACCUGUUAUUUAUUAAAUCAAAUGUAUUUUUACUGGACUAGCCUUUUAAUACAAGCAAAAAGUCCUGUUAAUCUGUGGUUUACAGUGAAUUUAUGGCAUCUUAGUGGGUUUUAGCCACUAAACUAAAACACCCAUUAGCAGUUCUAAAUUCACUGUAAACCAUAACUUCUUGCUUAUUGCUUUGUAGCAAAACAGCAUGUUAACUAUUUACAGUGUUAUAAUUAAUGUUCCUUAAUUUUUUUUUCUGGGUCACAUGUAAUAUAAAAUAUUGUAUUUGCAGUUAGAAUGUUAAUGCUUCACUUUAUUUGUUUUAUGUGCUGUAUGUGCAGGAGAAAGAGUCAUCGCAAAGUCUCAUCAUCAGUAAGAAAAGGUUCACUUUUCAGCCAAAGUAGAGUACAACUUGUUAAAUGGUGGGAAUUUAUUUACCGAUUUGCACAAGGUCUCCAACUCAGGCAAACUGACCUGUUAGAGGAUCAGAUAGCCAGAAGUUCAAGAACUCUUGCGCGAAUGACAAAUGCACUUAAGAAGGUGAGGUACUUCGUCCUAAUGACUACAAAAACAAUGCAAAUAAACAUUGUAUGCCAUUCAUUUAUAUUUCUAUUAUGUUAUUUAGAUAUGCAUAGAUGCACUACAGAGACUGAGAAGAAGAACCGGUCUUACAGUUGGUGGAAACUCAAGACGCAAGUUUGUUUCUAUUGAUGAGUCAAAGUUUGCACACAAAAGGAAGUAUAACCGUGGUCGUUUCCUAACUACAUGGAGAAGAAACAACUGGGUUUUUGGAAUACUGGAAAUGAAAGGACAUAGACGUUUGCCCAUUUUGAAGAUUGUCAAAAACCGCUCAAGACAAACUCUAAUACCCAUUAUCAGAAGGCACGUGAGAAGAGGAUCCACCGUUUUCAUUGACUGUUGGAGAGCAUAUGUUCAGGCUCUUCCUAGGCAUUGAUACAGGCAUUUUACGGUCAACCAUUCAAAAAACUUUGUUGAUCAAGUCACUGGUUGCCAUACACAGCACAUUGCGUGUGCAUGGCAAAGCAUCAAGUCACAGGUUAACAAGCACAGAGGCAACAAAAGCACUCCACUCUUGAAAGAGCAUUUAAAAUGUAUUCAGUGGUAUCACUGGUUAG